AAAAUACUCCCUCCGUCCUAAAAUACUUGUCGGAGAGAUGGUUGUAUGUAGACGUAUUUUUGUUCUAGAUACAUCCAUUUUUAUUCAUUUCUACGACAAGUAAUUCGGGACAGAGGGAGUACAUA
rfam:Triticum aestivum genome assembly, contig: Triticum_aestivum_CS42_TGACv1_scaffold_225989_3B